AAAAGGACCUGGCAGGGGAGACACCAUGAUCAGGAAGGUGGUAUUCCCAGGGCGAGGAUCACCCAUUGCACUGCGGAUGUGCUGACCCCUGCAAUUUGCCAAAUGCGGGAAACUCAACUGCAUAAUUUGUGGUAGUAGGGGACUGUGUUUGCACGCUCCCGUU